rnacentral:piRNA from 1 species
UGAAGGUUCUACUACUCACUAACCUGCCGA